AUGAUGGUCGAAAAUCCUAAUUUAUGCGAAAGUAAUGAUGUUAAUGAGGAUAGGCGAUCAAGAAUUAUGAAAGAUGGUAUCACACAAGAUGGUCCACUUAAAAAAGACAUAGGUGGUGGCGUGAGAACAAAUGCCAUCCCUCCAAAUAGAAGUCAAACAUAUACCACAUGUCUCCAUUAUGUAAGGCGCAGAAAAGGAGCUAAAGAAGAGGAAGAUUGGUUGAUGUUGUUUCUUGGCUCCUGCAAGUCAACAAGGUCAUUUUAUGAAACUCUUCACCCAUAUGGUGGGUGUUUUACUCCUUCGGGGGAAGCUUGGUUCGAUAUAUGGGAACCUCCGCUAAGUAUCCAUAUACUCCUCCAGAUCGAGAAACUAGGAACCAAUCAACUACUUUACCACAUGAUAAGGCCCGAGAAGGAUCUAAAUAACAAGGCAAGGAUCAUUCCGUGCAAAUUAAAAAAACAAGAAGCUUUCCAGAAUCUUGAUAUUCUUCUAACUGUGGGGAAGCCUGAAGAAUCAUUGUUUGAUUCGGAGGGAAAUAUAUCUUGUGAUAAUAAGACGAUGACUUCGACCCAGAUAUAUCCAAAGAAGAUGUGGUUGAUCAUGUGGUAUGAUCGUAAAAAGAGGAUGGGGGUGAAGGAGAAAGACAAUGUUGAUGACCUUGGGUUACUUUUUGAGGAAUCGAAGGAUGAUGACUAUUAUCCAGAAGAUCCUGAUCAGAUAAAGAUAUCAAAGAGAAGAAAGAUGAGUCAAACUUCCCAUCAGACUUUGAAAGGGACAGUGGGAAGGAAACUGAAGCAGGUUCUAUCGUGCGCAAGAGGAAUGAAUUCACUCAGCAAAUGUCUCAACAAAGCUUUGAUAGUUUGUUGA
rnacentral:rRNA from 1 species